rnacentral:lncRNA from 1 species
CCUCUUGGCUGACUCUUAGGGAGAAAAAAAGAGACAAGAAAGCUCCAUUUUUCCUCUCUCCUUGGCCGGCCAUUGAAGCUCCAAACUAAGGGAAGAAAACUCCUCCUUCAAACAACAAAACCUGCUCCAAGAAUCUCUCUAAAACUUUCAAACCUUUGGAAGUUGAUCAAAUUAGAAGAAAGCUCUAGUCUUGUAGUGAUUUCUUGGGGGAUUGGUGGUGCAAAGCUUGGCUCUACUUCAACCUUUGGAGAGGUAACAAGCUUCACUUUACUUGACCUUUAGUUUCAUUCAAGUUAGUAGUAGCUUUGAGUUGUUAUGAAGGGGUAUUUGAAACCCUAAACAAAGCUAGGCUAGAUAACUUGAGGAUAUUCUGGUUUCCUAAUUUACUCUUAGCUAGAUGUCUUGAAAUGGCUUUUUAGGUAGUGGCCUUGAGGAAUUAUUGUUUGUUUAGUUAUUGUUUUGGUGAUUUAUGGCUUGGUUUUGUUUGAGGAAGUUGAAAAGAAAAGUUGGAGAGGAAGGAGAGCAAUCUGUCCGAAAAUUUGCUGGUUCAUUUCUCUCAUUUUAAUUUCGAAUUUUGUGGUUAUUUUGAGGCCAAAAUGCUUGUUAUAUGUUGGAUUGUGUGUGUAAAAAUUAUCUUUCAAAAAUCAUUUCAUUUGAGUGGUUGAAAGUUAGGCUAAAGAGAGAAAAAUCAAAUCUGGAAAAUUGAUCAGGGCAGUCUGCCUAUCCGCACUCAACAGCCUAUAAAUUUUCGUCCAAGAGUUGAAAUCAAGUGCCGUUUGCAGAGUUUGAAACUAGAUUCCAAGGAUUUUCUAACGGUAUAAAAUACCCUUGCCAAUUCGUUUCCUAUGAGCCGUAGUGAACCGGCAAAUUUGACAGAUUUUCACCUACUAUUUUACCCGUGACACCUACACAACUGCUGUUUAUAACUCAUUUUCACUCAUCUUAUAAAACGAAUUUGAAGACAGUUUUUUCUAGUGAUUUUUAGCAUUUUGAAUCUAGUUUUCAAUGCCAUAACCCACGCUAAUUUUGAACUUGUGUAGCCUUAGUUAUGACCUGAUUUUGAAACUGUGUCGAGUGCUCCAAAGCUGAAAAUUCGUGAACCAAGUUUCAAAAAUCAGCAUUUAUGAAACUAUUGUAUAUUGGUGUAAAAACAUCUGAAAUGAGUUCCACUUAUUGAGUUUGAAACUAGACUUGGAAUUAUUUUAAUGGUAUAAAUUUCAAGAGCUAAUUCUAUUUCUAUGAAUUUUGCCAAAUUUCCAAAGUUUACUGAAAAUGCAAGACUGUUUGCCCUGUUCCUACUGAAAUAGUGAAUUGGAGCUAAGAUUUGACUGCUUUCGGAUUGGAAUCUGGAAAAAGUGUCUUCUAGAGAGUUUUAGUUAAUUGAGUUUAUUUUCCAACGGUAUAAGAUUUGCCAAUUUUGGACUUAUGAAACUCAAGUUAUAAUUUUUUAAAAAGGUUACCCAAAACUGAAUUUUUCUUGGAGAGUGACAACACUCCAAAGUCACUGGAAACAUUUUCUAGAUUACAAGCAUAACUUUCUUGGUUAGUUGAACUUCAUUUUAUACUUGGGAAGUGGAUUUCACUCCCUAGUCUUAAGCCUUUGGAUUUUCAUGAAAAUAAACCAUAAAAUGGAGCGUUUUAGCUAGAGUACUUCUUGAGGGAUUUCACUAGAUUCAUAUUUAAAUUUGGAACUUUUAGCCGCAAUAUUUACUAUGAAAAUGAGUAGCGUUUUGAUGGAUUUUGACUCCAUAAGAUUUGAAAACGUGAACACUCCUUUAUAUUCUAAAACUUGGGCAUAAGAUUAGAAGUUUUGGAAUAUGAAACCAUCUUCCCUUUUCUCGAUUUUUGUGCCAAAAAUUAAAUAUGGUACUUUCCUCUUUGGAAUUGAGAUUCCUUGCCUCGAUUUGCUAAAAAAGUGACUUUUGAAUUUUACUUGAGUAUUAUUUCAAUGUUUAAGCGAGAAAGUCUCGUUUACUUCGAUUUGAACGUGUGGCUUUCGAGCGUGGGUAGCAAGAGGAUAUUUUUCUUAUUAAUCUUGGUCAAGUACCUAGGUAACAGUGGUUAUGCAUUUCUCAGGUGGUCUCGUAGAUGCCGAGGAGCUUGUCUGACCUCUUGCUUUUGUCCUUGCUUUGCCUUGUCUUUUGGUGAGUGUCAAGUGCAUGUUUCCUGUUAUUGUGAUCGAAAUGAUAAUUGUACAAGUGCUAUGUGAUUCUUGUGAUCUUGCCGAAGUGGGGGUGUAUUUUAUCGCCCUCGUUCUCUACCUCUUGAAUUCUCAUUACUUGAAAAAUUAAUGUGUAUGACUUACACUUGUACUCGAAUCUGUUUUUACUCGUGAACACUGAGCGGUAGCAUGUACCACACCCUAUUCAGGUGGGAGGUGCCUCUCAUACGGAUUCAGUGUUAUAAUUGAUUCUCUGAGUGUACCACACCCUAUUCGGGUGGGAGGUGCCUCUAAUACUGACUCAAUACUAUGACUGAUUUUAAGUGAUUGGAGUGUUGUCUCAUCGACCAUUCGUGCUUGUGGGGACGCCCAACCCCUUAGCUAAUCUCGUAACUCGAGCCGGCAAGAGUUUGGACGAGAAGUUUGGUUAAUCUUGGAAAAUAUUAUAACUUGAUCUUUUGAGAUCUCGCUUGGCAUAAUCGAAUAGUAUCGCCACCUUAUGCUAGUUUGGUUCCGGAUCCGAGUGGGCGUUGUGACAACCCCACCUCCUUCUAGGGCUUACCCUAUGGUUUAGCGGACCGUCUGCCUAACGCUCGCCAAGACUUGCUCACACACCUCAAGAAAAUAAUUUACAACCAUAGAAAGGAAAUGAAACAACAAAUCCCAAUCUUAGAAUAUACAUUAAUGUUUAAAUUCAGAUCCAAGGCUCAUACAUACCCAAAUAUAUCAAAAUAUUUAAAAUCCAGGUACAUUUAACCUUAGUCGAGUACUAGCGCGAGUACAAUCGCAAAAAUUCAAAAAUAGACUAUGCUAACCUGUACCAGUCUCACGUCCUCGCUCGUACCCCCUGUAAGGAAAACAAAAACUAAUAGAGUGAGGUAAAGUUCAGUGAGGUUCCAAAUAGUAAGUUGACCGUUGAUUAAAAGUGAAAGUAUCAAAGUAGUAAAGUAGCGAGCAUAACAAAUUAAGAAAAUGAGCAAUAACACUUUGUAUAGCCAAUCACUAGAUAUUUAACAUGUCAAGUAAAAGGAUACAGUCGCUAUUGCAAAAUAGCUCCGCCAUAACUUGAUCAAGUAGUAGUUGACACUCCGUCAACUUUCAAGUAAAGUAAUUAGUCCAGUAGUGCCCCACUUAACGCCAAUCUCCGUCCACCAUUCAACCCCCUUACCGGGCCCGAACGCCAAGAUAAACACGUGUGGUAAUAUUCGAACAUACUGAUUAGUCGAGGAGAUAACACUCAACUCGACAAAACAAAAGACCCAGGGUUCGUUACCUAAUCGACCAAGCCAUUGCCGACUCGACUUGAGUAACUAGCCACAAGAUUUCUGGAAUUCCAGAGAGUGCUCACGUCAUACACAAAUAUAUCAAGUCAAUUGCAACCAAUGAACAAGAAUAUCUCACAUUAGGGCAAGUGCGAUAAAGUAUAUCCUUGCCCAACCAAACCAAGCAAAUAUUAUCCGAUCACGUUGGUAAAGCAUUUAAAUCAAGUAUCAAGUUUAAUCAUGUAUUUGGAAGCACUCACCAAAGACUUAGUACUUUUCAAGUUCACGCUCAGGUACAACUCCUUGGUUGGAGUCCAAAUCUGCGAUAAAAUAUCAUUUAGGAGUUUGAAAUCAACUAGGGUUCAAAACUUAGAAAUUUUGCUUAAAGAAAAUCAAGUAAAAGAAACUCGUUUAAGUAGUAGUCAUUUUGCUUAUCACACCUUAGAAAACUCAUGCUUGCUCUUUUAGUUUUGGUAAAGAAGCGAUUAAAACUUUUAAAUUUGCGAAGUGGUCUAAAAGGCGAGGAAAAUAUAUUUCGAAUGGUCGCUACUUUCGCCUUUUAAAGGGUACGAGUUUUGGCCAAAUUUCAGUUUAUAUACCUCUACUAACGAAAUCUUGAAUACCAAAGACAAUCCAAGUUCACUUCGACCUCAAAUCGUCACACAAGUUUCAAGUUCACUCGCUUAUCCUUCGAGCUAAAAUUUGGGUAGUAUUUCCCCUAUUUUCUUACUUUUCCCAUCCAAGUACCACUUGGAUUCACAAGCCAACAAACCUCCAAUCCAACCACAAGUGAUAACCAACAAUAUACAUCUAUUCAAGGUCUCAAAACCGACCAACCAAACCAAAUAAUAACUUAUCACCAUGGAUAUCAAAGCUGGAAACCAGUUUAGAGAAGAAAUUAUAAGUGGCAGAUUUGUCAUACUUCGGUGUUUUGGUCAUAACUGCAGCUAGGUAUAUCGGAUCAAGGUAAAUUUUAUGGCAUUUUGAAGUUAAGACAUAUACCUACAACUUUGAUGAAGGCGUCAAACCCCAUUUCAAACAUUAUAAGGGUCGAAAUUGGCAAAAACAGAGACAUAAAAAUUCUGUCGGAGCCAAAACAAGGUAACUGAACAGUUUUGUUAAAAUGGCCAUAACUUGCUGUAGAAAAAUCAAAAUUGAGCUCCGUCAGCGGCAUUUAAAACUAGAUUCAUAGAAGUUUCCAACGGUAUAAAAAUCAGGUUCUAGCUCAUCUCCUACAACUACCAGCAAGUUCAAGAACUUGACUGAAAUUCACCACCAAAUGCUGGAAAUUCAAUUUUCAACUUUAAAAAGUAAUGAACAUGCCACUAAUCCCUUAAUAAGUUCCAUUUCCAAGCCCAAUAACAAUAUUUGCUAGUUAAACAACAAAAUCAUGGUUGAAAAAUAUAAAACCCUAUCUGAAAUUUUCACUACACCACCAAAAACUAGAAAAUCAUCCAUCAUAUGUCAAGAUUACAAGUUUCUGUAGCAUAUUUAGCUAGAUUAAGGUAAAGACAAGAGGUGGAUGAACUUAUACCUUCACAAAGCCUUCUUGUAAGCGAGGAAUCAACUACUUUCUCCCAAAAUUUCACCACUCCUAACUUCCUAAGCACUAAAAUGAAACUUUAAUCGGUUUAGUUUUGUUGAUUUCACUCAAACAAUGCUUGAUUCAAGGUUGGAAAUGGAAAACUUUCUUCACUCUUUUUUUUCCUCUUGCUCUCGGCCAACCAAGAAGAAAUGGAGAAGAAAGUGAGCCAAAUGGAAGAUAAGAAGGAAAGAAAAUUUGGUUGGUCAAAACUAGUUGAUUUCCGCCAAGUGUCACACUAUGGUUUAAUCUUAAAUUUUUUUCUUUUCCCUAUUUUAUUGAGUCAAGAAUUUCGGCUGCCUUGAGGGAUAUUUUGGGGCUGAUUUUACUGAAAUAAAAAUCACGAGAUUAAGGUAAUAAAGUAGUGUUCAAGUGGUGCAUUCAAUCGGUAGCAAACGGUGCGCGUCGGUUCAAGCCUAUUUUCCUUAACUCUCUCGUACUAUCACUAACUUAUUAUUUUCACCUCUAAAUCACCCACUUUUUCUUACCUAUUACUCACUCUUAUCCACCAAAUUUAAUACAGAUACCUCACCAAAAAAUCACACUACCAAAAUACGCAAAAAUCCUAAUUUACCCUAUCUAUAAAAUGAAAAGUAAAACUCUCGAUUCUAGUGUUUAUUACAACUAUUGAGGAAGUAAAUGAAUAGUAAAGAUAUUAUAAAAUAAUUUAAUCAAAAUAAGAAAAAAUUUUAAGAAAAUAUGAGCGAAUUUUUCAGUCAUCACAGGUGUAAUGUUAGAUGGAGGAGAUAAGUGGAGCA